rnacentral:rRNA from 1 species
CUAUACAUGCAGUCGAGCGGACAGAUGGGAGCUUGCUCCCUGAUGUCAGCGGCGGACGGGUGAGUAACACGUGGGUAACCUGCCUGUAAGACUGGGAUAACUCCGGGAAACCGGGGCUAAUACCGGAUGCUUGAUUGAACCGCAUGGUUCAAUUAUAAAAGGUGGCUUUUAGCUACCACUUACAGAUGGACCCGCGGCGCAUUAGCUAGUUGGUGAGGUAACGGCUCACCAAGGCAACGAUGCGUAGCCGACCUGAGAGGGUGAUCGGCCACACUGGGACUGAGACACGGCCCAGACUCCUACGGGAGGCAGCAGUAGGGAAUCUUCCGCAAUGGACGAAAGUCUGACGGAGCAACGCCGCGUGAGUGAUGAAGGUUUUCGGAUCGUAAAACUCUGUUGUUAGGGAAGAACAAGUACCGUUCGAAUAGGGCGGUACCUUGACGGUACCUAACCAGAAAGCCACGGCUAACUACGUGCCAGCAGCCGCGGUAAUACGUAGGUGGCAAGCGUUGUCCGGAAUUAUUGGGCGUAAAGCGCGCGCAGGCGGUUUCUUAAGUCUGAUGUGAAAGCCCCCGGCUCAACCGGGGAGGGUCAUUGGAAACUGGGGAACUUGAGUGCAGAAGAGGAGAGUGGAAUUCCACGUGUAGCGGUGAAAUGCGUAGAGAUGUGGAGGAACACCAGUGGCGAAGGCGACUCUCUGGUCUGUAACUGACGCUGAGGCGCGAAAGCGUGGGGAGCGAACAGGAUUAGAUACCCUGGUAGUCCACGCCGUAAACGAUGAGUGCUAAGUGUUAGAGGGUUUCCGCCCUUUAGUGCUGCAGCAAACGCAUUAAGCACUCCGCCUGGGGAGUACGGUCGCAAGACUGAAACUCAAAGGAAUUGACGGGGGCCCGCACAAGCGGUGGAGCAUGUGGUUUAAUUCGAAGCAACGCGAAGAACCUUACCAGGUCUUGACAUCCUCUGACAACCCUAGAGAUAGGGCUUCCCCUUCGGGGGCAGAGUGACAGGUGGUGCAUGGUUGUCCUCAGCUCGUGUCGUGAGAUGUUGGGUUAAGUCCCGCAACGAGCGCAACCCUUGAUCUUAGUUGCCAGCAUUCAGUUGGGCACUCUAAGGUGACUGCCGGUGACAACCCGGAGGAAGGUGGGGAUGACGUCAAAUCAUCAUGCCCCUU